GACGAACGCUGGCGGCGUGCCUAAUACAUGCAAGUCGAACGCAGUGGGGACGGGUGAGUAACACGUGGGUAACCUCCCAUCAGAGGGGAUAACACUUGGAAACAGGUGCUAAACCGAUAUUGACGGAUCGAACCGCGGUGCAUUCGCUAGUUGGUGGGGUAACGGCUCACCAAGGCCCCGAUGCAUAGCUGGCCUGAGGGGGUGAUCUGCCACACUGGAACUGAUACACGGCCCAGACUCCGACGGGAGGCAGCAGGAGGGAAUCUUCGGCAAUGGACGAAAGUCUGACCGAGCAAUGCCGCGUGAGUGAAGAAGGUUUUCGGAUCGUAAAACUCUGUUGUUAAAUAAGCGGUAUCUAACCAGAAAGCCACGGCUAACUACGUGCCAGCAGCCGCGGUAAUAC
rnacentral:rRNA from 1 species